rnacentral:rRNA from 1 species
UACGUAGGGGGCGAGCGUUGUCCGGAUUUAUUGGGCGUAAAGAGCUCGUAGGCGGUUUGGUAAGUCGGGUGUGAAAUCUCCACGCUCAACGUGGAGGGGCCACUCGAUACUGCCAUGACUCGAGUCCGGUAGAGGAGUGUGGAAUUCCCGGUGUAGCGGUGAAAUGCGUAGAUAUCGAGAGGAACACCUGCGGCGAAGGCGGGUUGCUGGGCUGACACUGACGCUGAAGCGCGAAAGCUAGGGGAGCGAACGGG